rnacentral:rRNA from 1 species
AUUGAACGCUGGCGGCAGGCCUAACACAUGCAAGUCGAACGAGUGGCGGACGGGUGAGUAAUGUCUGGGAACCUGCCUGAUGGAGGGGGAUAACUACUGGAAACGGUAGCUAAUACCGCAUACCAUCAGAUGUUCCCAGAUGGGAUUAGCUGGUUGGUGGGGUAACGGCUCACCAAGGCGACGAUCCCUAGCUGGUCUGAGAGGAUGACCGGCCACACUGGAACUGAGACACGGUCCAGACUCCUACGGGAGGCAGCAGUGGGGAAUAUUGCGCAAUGGGCGCAAGCCUGAUGCAGCCAUGCCGCGUGUAUGAAGAAGGCCUUCGGUUUGUAAAGUACUUUCAGCGGGGAGGCGGUACCCGAAGAGGAAGCAACGGCUAACUCCGUGCCAGCAGCCGCGGUAAUAC